GAAAAUCAUUGUCAGGAGAACAAACU
rnacentral:piRNA from 1 species